UGCGCAGGCGGUUUUGUAAGCCAGAUGUGAAAUCCCCGGGCUUAACCUGGGAAUGGCAUUUGGGACUGCAAGGCUGGAGUGCGGCAGAGGAGACUGGAAUUCCUGGUGUAGCAGUGAAAUGCGUAGAUAUCAGGAGGAACACCGAUGGCGAAGGCAGGUCUCUGGGCUGACACUGACGCUCAUGCACGAAAGCGUGGGGAGCAAACA
rnacentral:rRNA from 1 species